GUUAGCUUGGCCGAGUGGUCUAAGGCGGUAGAUUUAAGCUCUAUUGACGAGAGUCGCGCGUGUUCGAACCACGCAGCUAACA